AUAACGACUCUCGGCAACGGAUAUCUCGGCUCUCGCAUCGAUGAAGAACGUAGCGAAAUGCGAUACUUGGUGUGAAUUGCAGAAUCCCGUGAACCAUCGAGUCUUUGAACGCAAGUUGCGCCCCAAGCCGUUAGGCCGAGGGCACGUCUGCCUGGGUGUCACGC
rnacentral:rRNA from 1 species